UAAAAUAGACACCCCUCUAGCAGUAACAAGCUUAUACAGUAAGUUUCCACACUAAUUAACUUAAUUUUAGAAACCAUUUGCUAGCGCCACGAAAACUCAAAGAUAAACUGGGAUUAGAUACCCCACUAUAUGAGUCGUAAAAUAAACAAAACACCCGAGAACUACGAACUAAAGUUUAAAACUCAAAGGACUUGGCGGUUUUUUAGACCUUCCUGGAGGAGCUUGCUACAUAACCGAUAAUCCACGAUAUACCUCACCAACCUUCGCAACCUUCAGCUUGUAUACCAUCGUCGUCAGCCUACUUCACAAGAAAGUAUACAAAAAGAAACCAUCUUUUCCUUACGUCAGAUCGAGGUGCAGUUAAUAGGUUGGGGAAUAGUGAGCUACAAUAACCCCACAAAAAAAACACAACUAUGUCUUUAAUUCGACAAAGCAAAGCACUGAGUAUACAGUGAUACUUGUAUGACAAGUCAAGUGAUGACCAAUCUCCUGAUUGAAGUACAUUCUCACUGAAGUAAAGAUCAUAUUAUAAACUAUGAUUGAGCACACUACCUGUGACUAUACAACCGCAACCAGCUCAGUUGUAAAGUGGUUUAGAUAUCUUCCUCCUUGAAAGCUGAAGUUGCUUUACAUUGAUUUUAACAAACCCUCAUUGAAUCAGAGUGCAAG
rnacentral:rRNA from 1 species